UACGAGUACCUCAAGCGUUAUCCGGAAUUACUGGGCGUAAAGCGUCUGUAGGGGGUUUUGAUAGUCCCGUGUUAAAUGUUCGGGCUCAACCUGAACGCUGCGCGGGAUACUUCAAGACUAGAGAGUGUGAGGGGCUGACGGAACUUACGGUGUAGGGGUGAAAUCCGUUGAUAUCGUAAGGAACACCAAAAGCGAAAGCAGUCAGCUGGCGCAAUUCUGACCCUGAGAGACGAAAGCGUGGGGAGCAAAAAGG
rnacentral:rRNA from 1 species